rnacentral:rRNA from 1 species
CAAUAGCGUAUGUUCAACUUGUUGCGGGUAAAAAAGCCGUAAUUGGAUUUCUGCUCAGGACGACCGGCCCGCCCUCCGGGUGAGCAUCUGGUUCAGCCUUGGCAUCUUCUUGGUGAACGUUGCUGCCCUUGAUUGUGCGGUGCGGUACCCAGGACUUUUAGCUCAAGGAAAUUGAAACGUCUACAAUCUACAGCAGGCAUCUGCCUUGAAUACAUUGACAUGGUAUAAUAAAAUAUGACCUUGGUUUGAUUUUAAUGGUUUCUAGAGCUGGUGUACUGAUUAAUAAGGAUAAUUGGAGGCAUUCGUAUUUAACUGUCAGACGUGGAAUCCUUGGAUCUGCUAAAGACGGACUAUUGCGAAAGCAUUUGCCAAGGAUGUUUUUGUUGAUUAACCACGGAAGUUAGGAGAUCGAAGACGAUUAGAUACCAU